AUUGAACGCUGGCGGCAGGCCUAACACAUGCAAGUCGAACGAGUGGCGGACGGGUGAGUAAUGUCUGGGAAACUGCCUGAUGGAGGGGGAUAACUACUGGAAACGGUCGCUAAUACCGCAUACGAUCAGAUGUGCCCAGAUGGGAUGAGCUUGUGGGGGGGGAAACGGCUCACCAAGGCGACGAUCCCUAGCGGGGCUGAGAGGAUGACCAGCCACACUGGAACUGAGACACGGCCCAGACUCCUACGGGAGGCAGCAGUGGGGAAUAUUGGACAAUGGGCGCAAGCCGGAUGCAGCCAUGCCGCGUGUAUGAAGAAGGCUUUCGGGUUGUAAAGCACUUUCAGCGGGGAGGCGUUACCCGCAGAAGAAGCACCGGCUAACUCCGUGCCAGCCGCCGCGGUAAUAC
rnacentral:rRNA from 1 species